ACUGCAGUCUUGACCUUCCAGGCUCAGGUGAUUCUGUCACCUCAGCCUCCCAAGUAGCUGGGACUACAGGUGUGCGUCACCAUGCCUCGUUAAUUUUUGUAUUUUUCAUAGAGACAAGACCUCACCAUGUUGCCCUGGCUGGUCUUGGAUUUGUGGGCUCAAACAAUCUGUCCGCCUCAACCUCUCAAAGUGCUGGGAUUACAGACGUCUCCUGAAAGCUGAGCAUUUGGUAUCUCAAAGCCUCUUACCAGUUUGGAGAGAUAUGGAUCUUCUAAAAUUAAUAAGCUCCUUAAUAUCGACACUGUUUAUCAACACAAAGGACCAAUUUAGGAAGAUUAUAAAAACUGAAGUUUCCGGAACAAUAAAUGGGAGAAUUAAUCAAGCAUUUCAAACAUACUGAUUAAAAAAGAAAAAAUUAAAAACUCAGCUUUAACACUAAGAACUGAGGAAGAAUACCAAAUAGGAAGAAAUAAAGAUGUGGAAACACAGUAACACAAAAUAUUACUGGUUCUAAAUCAAGGAUGUAUCCCUGAAUCUGGGGAGCUCUCUAUCAAAAUAUACAUGCUGGAACCCUACCAAAGGAAUAAUAAAUCUGGAAUGAGGCCCUGACUGUCUAAUUAGGAAAAGACUCCUUCCUGGAAUUCUGCACAUCUCCCUACACCUUAGUGACGGUUAAAUAAAUAAUUAUUAAGCUU